AAUGAGCAGUAGGUAACAUGCUAAAUUAGCUUGACUGGCAUAUAAACAUAUUGGAAUUAAAAUGAAAAGGAAAUAAAAAUGAAUGCACAAUUUCCACUGAAACUAGGUGCAGUCCUGAGCUGGUUGCAUUACGGGUGUGACUGCUAAGGGAUGAAAGUAAAAAAAACAACAUAACCUUGGGGCAACACCUCCACCUGAGAGCAUACAAAGGAAAGAUGAGCCAGUG